CGAUAUUCUAAAAUAGAUAAAUGAAAGUGAAAAAAAAUAUAUUAUGAUGAACAAGUGAAAUAACAAUAAUUUCUUACAAAAAAUAUUGAUUGACGAAAUACAAUAAUAUAGAAAAGAUACAAAAAUUUAGCACCAAACAAAAUUGAAAUUGCCCCUUCUUUCAAAGAGAAUACGAUAGUAGUUGAAACUAAGUAGUUGAAAUUCAAAAGAUUCUUCACGG
rnacentral:lncRNA from 1 species